AUCUGGGACUUCCCCAGGGGAAAAUAAGGAUUGGGUUCUAUGCACUGGCGCCCAUUUGUUCCAGGUACACCCCUCGUCAUCAUGUUAUAUCCUGUCUCAUUUGCAUGUUUGGAGAUGAUGCCUCCGGUUGCCAUGUAAACAAGAGCAACAAGAGAGAGCAUGUGGAGACAGGGGAGUCCGUUGGAAUAGAAGGGAAGAAAUGAUGGAGGCUGGGCAACAUGUUGGCGAAGGAGAAAAUGAGGGAAGGGGCUGAUUUAAGAGCAUCUGGGUGCUGGAAUCUGUAAGCAAGGGUUGGCAGGUAUAAAGGUAUAGAGGGUGGGGGUAUAAAGACGGCUCCCAGUUCUCUUGCCGAAGCAGCAAGGUAGAUGGAGCUGCCCUUUACCACAUGGAAGAGUGGAGCCAACACAUAUUUGGGCCUGAGGGGUGGGGAACCAAGGGUUCAGCUGUAGCUAUAUUAAGUUUGAGGUUCCUAGGAGCUAACAUAUGCUAAUCCCUUCCCUCUUAGCAACAGAACCCCACUGCCUGGCCUCUCCAGCAAGUGCUUUCGGUUGGGCCAUCACUUGCAUGGCCUCGCUCCCCUAAGCACACAGAAGGGCGUGCCUCAGGCUGGCCAAUUAGAGCACUCACCCCCUGGACACAGAGACCCGUCUACGGGUGAGCACCCACCCACUUGGAAGGACACUGAAGAAGAGAGGGUUGCCCUCUUCUCUGGGCUUGUGGGCUGUAGGGAAAUGUGCAGUCGGCACUGUCAGUGACAUCACUCAGCCAGAGGAAAGCCAAAUCAGGACAUGGAGAGAGACUGAGUUCUGGCAACAUAAUUUGAAUCCCUGGUGCAUCUGUGCCUAAAGCUAGAUCCUCUCUUUGAUCCAAUACAUGACCUCAUAAAAUCCUUUUCUCCUCUAGGAGAAUCCUUUAGCCUAUGACUGAAAGAGACACUCCAAUAAGACUAACACAGCAUCCAAAAGCUGUCAUGGGGGUCUUUUGGAGCAAAGACAGAUGCAAAAGUAGAGGAAGCUGGGUUCUAGGAGGCAUGGACAGAUGAGACAACGGCCGGAGAUGGACAUGGAAUCAGGGGACAUGUGGCAGAGACUCCCACAUGACUCCAACAUUCACUUGUGGGUUUUUCCCCGUUUUUACCUUCCAGGUAGGUGCGACCAUGUGGCUAAGUCUGGUUAAAGCGAUGUAAGUGGAAGUAUUGUGGGGACUUUCCAUUUCCCCCCGGAUGGGUACACCUGGUGGUCAGAGUCACCAGAGCUCUCGUGGACAGUAGGGCAUUGGCCAUAGUGGACACUCCCUGAUGCCCCCUUCAAAACUGAGGCCCUCCUUCCCCCAUCUGCCAAGAGUAUUGUCCACUCACAGCUCUGCUGAGUCUUUUGCGAGAAACAGCCUUGCUCAAAGUUAUGCUUUCUCUCCAGGAGUAUCUAAAGGGGGCCUGCAUCCAAGGAUGUGUGGGAUAACCAGCCUCGCUUCUUGCCUUAACUGGAACAACUUUGAAGCCCCGCCCCCAGCUCCAGAGCUCCUCAGGGAUUGGCUGGGUCCUCUCCUGGGACCAAAUCACAGCUCAGCUCUGCCCUUUACCCCGCCCUGCCUCAUCAUCUCCUCCCAGCAGGGUGCAUCCCUAACAGAACUGGUGGCUGCAAAUCUCCUUCUGAGUCCGUUUUCUGAGUGACAGCCUAUGAUAGUAGCUGUCUUUAGACUGUGCGAUAGAAGCAACGUGUGAAAAAAUAGUGAGGUAAAAUGAUACAAGAAACCUAAGUCCUCCAAAACAGCUAAACCCCUGUAUCAGCCCUGAACUGUCAAGUUACAUGAUAGAAAAACAAAAACAAAAAAACAAACAAAACCCUUCUAUUUUGUUUAAGCCAUUGGAGUUUGAGGUCUUUGUUACAGCAGUGUAAAGCAUAUUCCGAUUAACAUAGAAUUUGAUACCCAGAAGUGAAAGGUUGGAUGUGGCAAAAUUUUAAAUAUGAGGCAUUGUGCUAUUGUCAGACCGUGAGCAGAUAUUUCAGGUUGGAAAGCUCAUGACCCAUGUUAUGCAAAACAGUCGGUAACACCGUCUCCCCUGAUACCUUGGAAGAAGUUCCAUGCCCACGGAGCCUCUAGUUCUAGAGGAAGUGGUCAGAAGGUGCAAACACUGGUGGGUAUAGUCUUCUCCCUACAUUUAGCAAGGUCCUGGAAGAGAAAAACUCAGAAUAGAGACAGCAGUUUGCAAGCAGAGAUGAAAAAAAACAAAACAAAACAAAACAAAACAAAAAACAGAACUCUGUUUGUGGAAAUUCUUCCUGCCUGUGGCCAGUCUUGCAAAUUGACUGAGAAUCUAGUGUUUGGAGCCUCCCCAUGCUGAGAAGGCCAACUGCUUUUAUACCCCCAGCUGAGGAAGUGACGUGAAAGGGCCCUAAAAUCUCUGGGGACUUAUACUUUUUCCCCAAUUGUGGAUUGCGAAGAUGUAUUCAUAUUGUUCUACUUAGCUGUGGCUCAUUUAUUUAACCUGGUCUGUAACAGUCCACUGCAUGAAUAUCCCAGUUUAUUCACUCCCAAACCAUGGACUCUACACUGGGAAGGGAGAGAAGUGAAAGCAGGAGGGGGCUGUUGGACAAAGGAAGUGAAGGAAUAAAUGGACUAAAGAGUUCUAUGAGAUCAAAAAGCCAUUGCAAGAGCACCUGGGCCAGGGAGCAGAAAGACUUGGAGGUGAUAGAUGGAUGGAUAGCAGAAAGUAAGGAGUUGUUUUUUUUUUUUUUUUCAGAGCUGCACCUGCAGUAUAUGGAAGUUCCCUGGCUAGGGGUCAAAUUGGAGCUGCAACUGUCGGCCUAGACUCCAGCCAUGGCAACAGGAGAUCCAAGCCAUGUCUGAGACCUACACGGCAGCUCACAGUGAUGCCAGAUCCUUAACCCACUGAACAAGGCCAGGAAUCGAACCCUUAUCCUCAUGGAUACUGGUUGAGUUCUUAACCUUCUGAGCCACCGUGGGAACUCCUACUGAUUUUCAGAAGUAGUAAGGCUUUGGGUGAGUCUAAGGUCUUCAGGGAUAAGUGUGGAAAUGGACAGCUAAGGCGGGAAUUAUUAGAGAUGUAGGUGAUGGAAGCGAGAGGUCAGAGGGUGGGUACAGGUGGUUCUAUUGGUCUGGGAGAGCAGCGGGGGGCUGGGUAGAGGAGAAGACGAUGAGGCUGGAGCUGGGGUCCUCAGAGAGGGAGGGAGCAGGCCUGGGAGGCUGGGAGAUGACAGGGAUGAGGAGGGAGAAUGGCAUAACCGAAACAGGAGUGUCAGUGGUCCAGGCUUUACAUGAGGAUGAGAAUAAUGGGCAGGAAGUGACUAUGAGGAGUAAUAAGAACAAACUCUACCUUCCAGCCUUGAGGUGUGGAGACUGUGAGAAUCCAGUCUGUUGAGAAACCACUUCUGCUUGGGAUGGGACCUGGGGGGCUACAGGGAGGUGGUGGCUCAGGGUGAGAGGAGGUCGGGGGGACAUUCCAAGAGGCUGAAGAUAUAGGCAAGUGCACCGCCUGUGGUGCAGAAACUCCAGAGAGCCUUGUGCCAGGGUGGAGGGGAGGCUCCAGCAAGAGAGGUGAGGCGAGCAGGCUGCCAGGACUCUGCCAAGGCUGCGCGGGGGUGUGUGUCAUGGAUGGCCAACCUUGGCUCUCCUCACAGGCUAGGAGUGCAGCAUGCUCCUUGCUGUGGCAUGUGCGUGGAAGGGUCACCACUCAGCAUCUCGCUGUGUCACCAGCGCUUGGGGUUGGUGCACCUCCUGUGCGGGGAGCCUGGAAGUCAAUACUCUUCCCUUGAUCCCGUGCUGGUGUCAGGGGAAACCAGGGUAGAAAACUGCCCUAGAGAAGCCGGGCCGAGGUUCUUGCCUCCACCUCUGCGGGGGUCCAGGGAUGCAGUCUGGACACCUAAUGUCACCUUCCUUUGGCGUCAGUGGGGGCCUGUGGCUCCCAUGGCCUUGGGCUAGUCCAACUUGCUUCAGGGUAGAGACUCCAUGUAGGCUCUUAGGGAGGCCUCUGUGAGUUGGCAGGCGUUGGGGGAGGUUUGGAGGAAAAGAAGAGGUGAAGCCAGCCUCUUGGGGGCCAAGGACGGGUCUAAGAAAGAUGUGGGCCUGCACACCAUUGUUCUGAAACACCAUCAGUCCAGAGAGAAAGGAAGAGCCCUGCCCUGCCCAGCCUGGGUCUCUGUGGUCCAAGGUAUUUUCCACCUGGGAUUCACUCGAUUAUCCUUCUUCAACUAUGCAAACUUGGGAUGACGGUCUGGGUGCAUUAGACACAAAGUCUGAUUAUUUUCUCUGUCUCGUCUCCUACACUGACCUCAGGUAUGACCAGCCCCUGCCUCUCCCCAUCCCGGAAGCCCAGGAUCUACCCCACUGGUGCUUUCUUGUCCCUCCCUCAGGACCAUGGAAGAUCUCAGUAGAAGCCCGGGCAUGGAACAGUCCCAGGUGGCAGGAGAAAGGGAUCCAAAGUGGCUCACCAUCCCAGAGGCCUCCAGGAUGCAUGAAGUAGGGGGAAGAGGGUCAAGAGGGGCUGCUUCUCAUCUGGAAGUUGCAUAUCUGGCUUUGCUCACUUCCCAUUGUUCAGAACAUUUAGCCACCUGAUGAUCCUUCGCUGCCAGGGAACCUGGAAAAUGUAGUUUUUAAUCCAGGCAGCCAUGCAUCUGAUAAGCACCUCAUUCUGUGAGAGAAAAGGGGAGGUUGUUCCUGGGGAACAACUAGCAGUUCUGCCUCAUGAGACCCCAAGAACACAGUAAGAAAGAAGCUUCUUUUAUUGUAUGUGUCUGUCCUGGACCUCAUUCUCGCAGGGUUGGGCAAGUGAUGGUCUGGGCAAACCACAUUAACACGUCCCUCUGGCCACAGCAAUUGGUCCAGAACUGAGCACAUGACUCCAGAUGAGCCAAUCAGAGUUCUUCCUUGGGACUUUUUCCUAACCAAGUCUGGUGACAAAUGGUGCAGUUUCCUUUCUGAUCAUGACACUAUGAGAAGGUAAUCCUGAACUGACUGUGGUCAUGUUCCCUGCCAAAGCAGGCCUCUGAAGGAGCAGAGAGAAAGGAGUCCAGCAGGGUGAGUGGGCCUCCGUCCAGGCCUCCCUGUGGCCUGCUCCAUCCUUCCCCAGAUUGAACCAGUUAAUCAACACCCCUUUUUCAUCAAACCGAUUAAAGUUGAGUUGCCAUUUGCAACCCAGAGUCUUGACUCACACUGCACUGAAUGUGACUUUUUUUUUUCUGGGGGAAUCGGAGGUGGGAGGGAGGGGACACAGCUGAGAUUGAAAACCUGGAUGAAAAGAAUGUGGGCUCCAGCCAUGCUGCAUCUUUUUCGUGCACAUUUGUCCGGAGGCAUUUUAAAGUUCUCACAUAGCAUCUCACUGUAGAAGCUGUUCGAUUUCUUUGCAGUCAAGGAAGACUGUUUCCUGCAAGGAAGCCCUCCUCCCAGGCCUGCUGUAGCUGGCCCAGUCGUGAGGAGGGGGCCUGAGGAGGGGCCACCUUCACAAAGGGCUCAUUCUCAGCUGGUCCAGGACUCUUAUCAGCCAAACCUAAACUCUGAAUCACCUGCAUCCGUGGGCAGCCUCAUAGGUGGGGGCGGCUUGAUUCCCCUCUGGGCUUCCCUGUGUCAGGACCUGUGAGUGGGGGCGGAUUUUCAAUAAAGGUUCAUUGUUUUCUGUCCCCUCACGCUAUCAAUGUUCUGUCCCAGGCCUUCCUGAGCCCCCCUUCCUCUUCUUUUCACUCACCCCACCCUUGCAUCCAUCCCCAUUCUGCCUAGUGUACCAGCAUAAAGUCCGCAGGGCAGAUGGGAUGGGGGCUGGAGAAGGAAGGCUAGGUGCAUGAACCAUCUCUCUCCAACCAGUCAGAACAAUGGAACCUGAGAAUGUUCUGUCCUGGGCUUCCAAACCUGUGACUCCCCCACUCCCCUGGAGCCUCCCAAGACCCCCUCUACAGGACACAGCUGCAACCAAGCUGCCCUGGGCCUCUGGUGUCACCUAGCGGCCAGCCUUGGAACUGCCCAGCUCCCAACCUUUUGUUUCUUUUGCAGUUGGAUUGGGCUGAUGGGAUCACGGAGUACCAUAAUGUCCCUUUUCUCUCUCUUUUUGUUCUUUGUUUUUUACCACAAUCAGUUCAGUUGGGCUCAGUCUUCCUCCAGCCAUCUUUUUUUUCCCUUUCUUUUUCAGGGACACCCACGGUAUGUGGAAGUUCUCAGGCCAGGGAUGGAAUCUGAGCCGAAGCUGCAACCUACAUGGCAGCUGUGGCAAUGCUAGAUCUUUAACCCACUGUGCCCCGCCAGAGAUCAAAACAGCACUGCAACAGAGACAAGCCAGAUCAUUAACCCACUGUGCCACAGGGGAACUCCCUCCUCAAGCCAUCUUUAAAAUCUAAAUGACACCCUUGAAUCUCCUUUCACCUCCUUUAAAACAACCCUACCCUGGUUACCUCCAGAGUUCCUUUCCUUAGUUUAUUCUUUUUUUUUUUUUUUCGUCUUUUUGCCUUUUCUAGGGCCGCUCCCACGGCAUAUGGAGGUUCCCAGGCUAGGGAUCUAAUCGGAGCUGUAGCCACCAGCCUAUGCCAGUGCCACAGCAACAUGGGAUCCGAGCCAAGUCUGCAACGCUGGGUCCCCAACCCACUGAGCAAGGCCAGGGAUCGAACCCGAAACCUCAUGGUUCCUAGUUGGAUUCAUUAACCACUGCGCUAUGACGGGAACUCCUCCUUAGUUUAUUCUUUCAACCCAAAUAAUCCUGGCUAACUGAGUAUCAGGGUGCAGCCAGGACUGCCCCUGUGCCAAGAAAAAGGCAGACUGAACGUCAGAAAGAUUCAUUAGAAUAUUGAAGAACAAAAGCUUUCAGCCUCUGAAGCCCUUGAAAGCACCUGGAAGUUUCCUUUAGAUCAUCCCCCUGCCAUCUCUUCACACUCCUGUUAAGAAACCUGCUUUCCCUUAAGCACCAGCUUUCAAGAAAAAAUGAACAGACUUUCCUGGAUCUGUGUUUUUUUGUUUUUGUUUUUUUUUCCAUUUCAACCUACAGGUCUUGCAACAUUAGGGUUUUCUUUUUUCCCCACGUGGGUGUGUAGCAGCCCAGCUUUGUGAUGCGUUAAACGAGCAUUUGUGGCUCAACCUGGAAAACUGAGCCCCAUUCAUAACCCUGAGUCCUUGAUUUUCUAUUGGCUUAUUGUCUGGAACCCCAAUCCACUUCCCAGAAACCAAGGUUUGCAAUAUCACUCAUUGGUAAGCUGGGACUGCCUGAUUGUAGACAUUUAAGGUAAGGAGAAGCUUUCCGGGGAGAGAUGGUGGCUGCUUGGUGUCAUUUUAAACAGGAUGAUGUGUAAGAGCUUUCUCGUUUCCCCAGAAAUGGAAAAGUCUUGAGGCUUGCAGGAUGGGCUGGACCAGCAUGCUAAGGUUGGGGGGAAGGGGUGUGGUGAUGCUUUAGACCCAAGGACCAGGCAGAGAGGAUACAACAAGGGCUGGGCUGAGUGGAGGGGCCUGGGGACAAGUCUUAGAACUGGAGAGAAAGAUCCAACUAACAUUUAUUAAGAACCUUCCAUGCGUCAGGAAGGGCCCAGUGGGGAAGCGAGUGGGUCCCCCAGGCCAGCUAAUCAUUUUAUGUCCCAUCGAACUAUCAGCGCAUCUUUAUCUUUUAAAUUUAUUCAUUUAGUUAGUUAGUUAGUUAGUUAUGUCUUUUUCAGGCCACACCAGCAGCAUGUGGAGGUUCCCAGGCUAGGAGUCGAAUCAGAGGUGUAGCUGCCAGCCUACACCACAGCAACUGGGGAUCCGAGCUGCAUCCGUAACCUAAACCAUAGCUCACGGCAACGCCAGAUCCUUAACCCAAUGAGCGAGUCCAGGGAUCGAACCUGCGUCCUCAUAGAUACAAGUCAGAUUCGUUUCUGCUGAACCAUGAUGGAAACUCUUAUCAGUUCAUGUUUAAUGUAGUGGAACUGGUCUCUGCUUGGGGAAAGGGGGGGGCGUGUGUGGUGGGCAGGGGACAGCAUCCCUCAUCCCUCCGGGCAACACUCCAUCUCCUCUGAGCAAUUCAGCUCUGACCCCAAACUCACAUGCUGCAAUUAGACAGACAAAAACUCUGUAGAGACCUUGCUCCACCCUCCUUAGGGAACAGCUUAGAGACCAACUAUUGUUAUGCCGGCCUGUUCUUUUGGGGUCCUCCCACCCGUAAGCCACCCUGUUGCAAGUAAUUUAUUAAAGCAGAACAUCCGACUGCCCUUAAAAGAGUUCCAGACGUGAUUUUCUUCGUCUCCUUCUCCUUAUAUUUCCAGUGAUGUCUGCGUGCUUUGUAAAGAGUGCCCUUCAGCCAGCUGCCCGGCUGGUCACCCCUUCAACCAGCUUUGGUACCAAGCACUGAAAGUGUUUUCACCCUGCCAUGUAAGUAGCAUGAUCUCCAUUCUCCCUGGUAAAGCUGAGGCCGAGGGCAGUGAGGCGAGCGGCCCAAGAGGCCCACAGCAGAUGAGUAAAUCCCACCUUUGAGCUGAGAUCUGAAGUCAGGUUUAUGCAUCUUAUUGCAAAGCCCAGAUCUUCUUCAGUUCCUCGCCCUCCCCCAGGAGAAAAUGGAAAGGAAAAGCCGUUGAGAGCAGGAGGGUGAUUCCUACGAGGAGGUACAGGAGGUGGAGGUUUGAAGCGGGAGCUGCAAUAAGCAGAGUCAGAGACCUGGUGGGUUGGCUAGGAGGCUGGGUGCCAACAGUACUGCCACAUGGCCCAGGUUGGAUGAGGGGAAUAGGGUGGUGCCCGCUUGGGCUCCUGGAUGUGGGAGGGUAAAGCCGCCUGGUCCUGAAGAGGGGGGCUGUGUGUGUGAUGCUGGGGCUCCCUCCUCUAUAUGCAGCCACACCAGCAGUGCCCGUGGAAAGGGUGGCUGUGCCUGGAGUCUGGCAGAAAGGCUGGGGCCCAAGAGGAGUCCUUGCAGGAGAAAUCUCUCCUUCUGCCCUAGAUUGGAGGCUGCAGAAAGUCAUUUGGACCAAGUGGGGGCAGGAUGCCGAGGGCAGAGGAGCUGGCUCCCGUUGGUCCCCUUUCUUUCCUCAUCUCCCUUCCCUCUGAACCCCAGUCCAGGGCCCAGGAGGGCUUGGCAGCCUGUUCCUGGCCUCCCCAGCAGAGGGCUCCAGAGCAGAGCUCAGGAUGGCCAUGGGGAGGGAGCGGCAGAAAGCACUGGACAGUCCGCCCUGCUCACAGGUGUCCAGGUCACAGGUGCUCUUUACUGGUGCACAGGUGUGUCUGUCUAUGUGUGCACCCAUGUGGGUGUGUGCAAGUGUGUACAGUAGACGUAUGUUGUUGUGUGGGCAUGUCAGUGUCGGCACGCGGGCACGACUGCCUGCCUGUGUGUUGGGUGGUAUCUAUUCACAUGUGUUUGCUCAUUUUCUCUUUGCACACGCCAGCACUACUGUGGUCCUUGUGCAUAGUUGUGUGCAUGCGGGUGUCUGUAUGCUUUGUGCAUGGGUGUCUCUGGUUGGCCUUGUGCAGAGAAAGCCGAAAAAUUACUGACAAGGUGUGCUGUGGAAUCUCAUCAUUCUCGAGGACAAGGAUGAGGGACCCCCUGCUCCUUCUGUGCCAUCUGACAUUCACACCCUGACCCAGCCGCCUGACUCCUGCCCUCAAUCAACACAGCCCCUGAAUUUGUUUGUUAAAACCUCAUUUACAGCAGGUGUAGUUGACAUCCAGUUCCCAGGAAGCAAGUACUUCCAGAACUGUGUGUGUGUGUGUUCUGGUUCCCUCAUUUGCAGCUCGAAAAUGUUUCUUUUCCAGCAUUUCCAUUGCGGCUCAGAGAGUUAAGAACCCAACUAGUAUCCAUGAAGAUGUGAGUUCGAUCCCUGCCCUUGCUCAUUGGGUUAAGGAUCCGGUGUUGCUACAAGCUGCAGCAUAGAUCACAGAGGAAGCUCGGAUCUGGCUUUGCUGUGACCGUGCUAUAGGCCAGCAGCUGCAGCUCCCAUUCAGCCCCUAGCCUGGGAACCUCCGUAUGGUGCAGGUGCGGUCCUGAAAAGCAGAAACAGAAAAUGCUCUUCUUCUUGUUGGGAAUGAGGAGCAGAGCCCCAGAGAAUGCGGGGAAGGUAGAGGGCUGCAGUGGAGAAACAGCAGGCUGGUGGCUGGUUCAUCCACAGCUGAAGGGAGGCAGCGGCCAUGGGGGCAAGGUCUUGGCCCAGAAGUCUGGGGGGCCCUGGACGGGGCCCAGCUCUGCUACCAGCUGGAGGCCCUGGCUGAUGGGAAGCAGCCUCUCCUGUGGUGGUCUGUGCUGCUGUUCAGCCAGGGCCAUUGGGGAGAACAAAUGGGGUACUCCCCUCACCCUGUGUCGUGUGGAAAAGGCACUUGUCGAAGGGAGUGCGGUCGAGGAUGGCGCCCACCUCAGGAUGGGAGGCUGUAUUGGUUUCCUGUCGCUCCUGUGACAGCUCACCACGAACUUAGUGGUUUAAAAUAAUCCGCAUUUAUUUUACAGUCCUGGGGACCACAAGUCCAAAAUCAGCCUCACCAAGCUAAAGUCAAGGGAUUGGCAGUGCUGUGUGCCUUUUGGAGGCUCUAGGGGAAAUGGGUCUCCUUGCCUUUUCCAGAUUCUAGAAGCUGCCUGCAUCCCUUGGCUUGGGGCCCCUUCCUCCUUCGUGCUGUCACAUCGCCUUUCUAUUGCUUUGGCCUCUUGCCUCCCUCUGGGAAGGACCCUGGUGAUUACCCUGGACCCUCCCAGAUAAUCCAGGACAGUCUCCUCAUCUCAAGCUCCUUGACAUGAUCACAUCUGCCAAGUCCUUUUGGCUGUGAGGUUAACAUUUGUUCACAGGUUCUGGGGAGUAGAUAUGUGGGCCUCUUUUGGGGCCACUGUUUUGUCUACUACCUAGAGAAAUCACAGACAAGCUGGCCAAAGUGGGUAACAGUCUUUUUAAAUUUUUUAUUGGAAUAUGGCUGACUUACAAAAUUGUGUUAAUUUCAGGUGUACGACAAAGUAAAUUAAUUACACAUAUACAUAUAUCAGUUCCUUUUGACAUUCCUUUUUUUUUCUCUUCUUUUUUAGGACAGCCCCUGGGGCAUAUGGACGUGCCCAGGUUACUGGUUGAAUCAGAGCUAUAGCUGCUGGCCUACACCAUAACCAUAGAAACGUGGGAUCCGAGCUGCCUCUGUGGCAUACACCGCAGCUUGUGGCCAUGCAGGAUCCUUAACCUGCUGAGCAAGGCGCAGGGAUGGAACCUGUGUCCUCAUGGAUACUAUUUGGGCUCUUAACCCUCUGUGCCACAACGGGAACUCCCCCUUUGGAUAUUCUUGAUCCUCCUGCGGUUUCACUGAGGCACCAGUGGGACCCUCACUCCUGCCGAGGAGCCAUCUGGUCCUGACGUCUCGUCUGGCGGAUUGAGCCCCAGGAACCAGGGUGCGCUGGCUGCCUAAAGGGCCUUUCCUUUCUGCCUGCCUUCCCGGCAGCCCCUGGCCAGGCACCAGCUAUGACCUCAGCCCACACUGACCCUUCGGUUCCCCCCUCACCCCCUCCCAGCCUGCUCCAGAUCCAGCCUCCGGCCCUGUCCAUGCUCCCAGAACACCCCGCGUGACUCGGUUCCUGUUCUGUCACAGCCCCUACUCCCUGCCCCAGAGGCACCUUGGGCUCCAGGCUGCCCAUCCGCCACCCAGCCCUCUCCACACGUGUGAAAACCACACGCAUGGGCGCUCUGCAGCUCCCCGCAGGAAAGCCCAGCCGCAAGACCCAGAGCAGAGGAGAGGGGACACACACAAGCGUGCAGGCCAGUGCCAGGGUUUGGGGAUGGGGGGCGGGGAUCCAAUGGAACAACGGGCCUCCCGGAUGCUGUAUCAAGCCAAACUCCCCAGCAGAGUCAGCACCACAUCUGGAAUUAAGCUGGAAAUUCCAAUUGCUCUCUGCUGCUAAAAAAAAAAUGUGUCAAAUCUUCCCAGAGAUUUUGUGGAAGUGGGAAGCGCUGCGGGGCGGUGGAGGGGAGGGGGGAGCGCUCCCUCCACAGGACCCGUGAGCUUUGGGGAAAUCCAGAUGUCACAAUGUGUCCACAGCCCUCUGGCUGAUGGCUCCCCCAGCCUCCCUCAUCUGUGCUCCCUGCCCCGUGAAAAUUAAAGACGCCUGGAGCAGGGGAGGGGCUGUUUCGCUUCUCCCAAGGACCCACACGUCCGUUCAUGUAAGCGCAUGUGAGACUGUGACUUUUUUUGAUAGGGAUUGAGUUAUUUUUUCCUGGAGAGGAAAACGUUGACAUGCCUUUGGUGGAUCGUCCGCCCAGAAAUUUCCAAUGCAUGAAGAAGCUGUGCUCUUCCCUUUGCUCUAACACACACACACACACACACACACACACACACGCACACACCUUCCAAAGGCCCAGAACUCACUGUGUGGUCUGAGCCCCUUCAGGGCCUCGCUGCACUGCUAGCCCAGCCCCAACCAGUGCGGGAUGGGGAUUCCAUAGAGCUGGGUCUGCAGGGCCAGGGAAGCUUGGACCACUUGCUCGUUCUCAAUCUCUAGGCAAGUGGAUGAAUUUCCUGUUACUGCUGUAACAAAUCACCACAAGCUGAGUGACUUCAACAACACAAAUAUAUUCUCUUACAAUUCUGGAAGUCGGAAGUCCAAAAUCAGCCUCGCUGGGCUAACGUCAAAGCAUCUCCAGGGGAAAAUCCAUUUCCUUAUCUUUUUUCACAUCUAGAGGCUACCUCUAUUCCUUGGCUUAUGGCCCCUCCCUUCUAUAGCAAGCAUCCCUCUCGGGUCCUUACCCAGAGCAUCAGAGGGUCUGUCUCCCCAGGCCUCUUCCCGUUCUGAUACUAACAUCCUAGGUCUCUGGGACCUUGGGGGAAAUGGGCCCGGCCCCUCCCCACUCUCCUCUUUGCUGAAUCUCUGGGGCUCGUAUUGUCUCUUUUUGUCCUCUUCCUCCAGCCCAGGAGUCUGACAUCCCAGGCUGGGGCUUUUGCCCCUCAGUUUCAUUCUCAACAAGUGAAGAAUUCAUCCCAGCCCCAACUUAGUUUAGGAUCUGAAUUAUACUUUUCUCCAAGGCAGGGCUCUCGACUGCCCAGCUGUCAUGCGGGGGCCAAGGAUCCUGAUCCCGAUUCAAGGAUGUUGGGUGGGUAUCCAAGACGUCCAAAUGGAGGGGCAGGGAUGCGGGUACCCUUCCUGGCAGUGGUCCUUACCAGCCUGACCUCCCAGAGCUCAGGCCACCCGGUCACAGCGUGACAUUGAAAGUCCCUCGCCAGGGAGAGAGGGAUGAGGCUGACCCAGCCUGGGUAGUCCCAUGGGACCCAAUAGUACAGACUGGUGUCCUUGGUGGCCUCCCGAGUAAAGAGCCUCUUUGAGCCAGACCUUCCUUCUUCCUUUUCUUUCUUCCUUUCCCUCCCUUCCUUUUUGUCUGACCCAGUGCCUGGUCCUUUGUCAGGCACAGGAUAAGAGCUGGAAGGGCUCGGUCCCCCAGCCUGUGAGAAGCACUGCCCACAGCCCCUCCCAAGCAGUGAGAGUUCCCAAGUGUGGAAGCCAAAUGGGGCUGCCCGAGGUGCCAGGAGGGCUUCCUGGGGCUGGUGGUGCUGCAUUUUCCACCCUCAAACACACUAAAACACUGAGCCACCCGCACACGCCAUGUGAGGGGAGGCAGCCACGCUUCGGCUCGUGCUCUUCCCACUGCUCGACAUCUUUCCACUUGCCUCUCCUGGAUAGCUCUGGCUCAGGUGCCACCUCUUCCAGGAAGCCUUCCCUGAAGUCUGGGGAGGUUGAAUCUCCUCCUUGAUUCUCCUAGCGCCCCACAGAGAGGCUCCUCGUGUCCAAGCCAGAAACUGAUUUUAUGCUGCAGUCAAGAGAAAGCCUUGGCCUUGGAGGGGCCUAGAGUGGAGGGGGACAGUGUCUGGUGAAAUGGCACUGGGCUCUGCUGAGCCUGCUUUUUUUUGAGCCGAUGGGCCCUUACAGAUCCCCCAGUCCAUCCUCCUUUCCGGAUAGUGGUGCUGGGACCAGAAAACCCUUCUCCUGGUUUUAGCCCUCUGUCCUUCCCAUGACCCAUCCCAUCUUGAUGGGGGCUGUGUCCUGACCACCUCAGUGUCCGUGAGUGCUUGGUGAACCAACAUGCGGGGGUGCUUAUGGGGGAACUGAACCCGCCAGAGACAAGUGUUUCGGAGGCACAUGGCAUUGAUGUCACCAUUUGGUCACAUGCUGUCCUAACUCUCAAAGUGGAGCCUAGGUUUCAUAUUAUCCCUUUAUGGCAGAGAUGCUAAGAGAAAGAUGGGUCUGAGUUCCAGCUCGGCCUCUUCUGAGCUGUGUGACCUCUUUGAGAAACAUCUGGAUCCGAGAUCCAGCUUGGCCUCUUCUGAGCUAUGUGACCUCUUUGAGCUCCCACAUCCUCAUCAGCAAAACGGGGACCCGCGCUGGACAGACCUUUGUUUUGAUGAUUAAAUAAGAUGACAUAUGCCAAGUUCCCAUUGUGGCACAGCGGAAAUGAAGCUGACUAGUGACCAUGGGGUUGCAGGUUUGAUCCCUGGCCUUGCUCUGUGGGUUGAGGAUCUGGCGUUGCCGUGAGCUUUGAUGUAGGUUGCAGACGCGGCUAGGAGCCAGUGUGGCUGUGGCUAUGGUGUAGGCCUGCAGCUGUAGCUCUGAUUCGACUCCUAGCCUUGGAACUUCAUGUGCCAAGGGUAUGGCUGGCCCUAAAAAGCAGUAAAUAAAUAAAUAAGAUAACGUAUGAGAAGUCAGCAAUUCUCUGGCACAUAGAUAUGCAUCCGAAUAGUGGCUAAAUAUUCUCCUUCUUCACAAUUUCAUUCUAGGGGCUCAACCUUCUGGAAUCAGGAAAAUUGUCUGAUUAAGUGGAUUCAUGCUGAUUCCAGCCUCAGCUCUAUGCAAAGGGAUUCUGAUUCCCUAAGUCUGGGAAGAGUUCCCAAACUCAUUAUUUUAUUUGUCUUUAUUUUUAAAUAAACAUCCUGGGUGAUCCUGAUGCUUAGCCAGGUUUGGAAGCCACUGGAAUAAGUGAUGAUGGGGUUUUAUGUUCAUAAAGACCAACUUGUGUCCUCAAAAGUAGGGUUUUAGCUUAGAGGUACCUUCCCACGGCCCCUGGAACCACAGCAGGUGGGACCCUCUCUCUCCCCAUGGGGGGAGGGGGUGACAUCCCUCUAGAGCAGCCCGGCAGGAAGGGAUGGGGGCCGCGCCAGCUGUGUCCCCUCCUGCAGCUGUUUCAGUGCCAUAGCCCCGUGGAAACCACUGUGAAAUUCAUUCUCCACAUCUCCCGAAGUUGGGCCAGGUGGCUACUGGCUGGGGCAGCUGAUCCCACCCGACAAGAGGCCUGCGAGCCAGGGAAAUACAGCCACCCGCCUCCACUCAGCACAGGGCCCCCCGUUCCACCCUCCCGGGCCAGUAAGUGCUUUUUGUCCCAGAUCAACUCAAAUCCUCCCCCGGGAAAACUUUUCUUUCCUCAGGAAGCACCCAGCUCUUGCCUUGCUGCAGGUUCUCUCAGGGCUGUCUGGCUCUGGAACCUGGUCAGGACUGGAUCCCGCCUCCCAGGGACCCCUGAGGCCUGGGGCUGAGUUGGCUGCUCUGGGAAAAUGCAAGCGGAGGAGGCGGGAAGCUGCAGAUUCCACUCAUCCGCCCGAGAAUGGCAGCGGGCCGGAGCUCUCCCUGCAGCAGGGAGCUGAGCUUUUUAUGAGCUGCACGGAGCUACAGAAGCAGGGAUUUGGCUGAGGAAGAAGGGAAAGGCCCAGAAUGAGAGCACUGUCCUCCGUCAAGGACACAGGACUGUUGACGUGGGAGAGAUGGGCGCAGCCUCUGGAUCAAGUCCACGGGGAGGAGGAAAUGGUUUUCACUGAAAAACAAAGUUGAAAAACAGUUUACUGAAGGGACAAGAAGGAGGAAAGGGGGUGGGGAACCACCUCAAACUGUCUGAUCAUCAAAAUCACCUAGUCAGUUAAAAAUACAGAUUCCAGUCCUCGUUCCAAGUCAAUAAAAUAUUAUUCUUGGUAGCUCUGGCUUUUUUUUUUUUUUUUCCUUGUGGUUUAAAAGUGUAGAUCCCUUGUCAAUUGUAUCUCAGUAAAACUAAGGGGAAAAUUAAGAUAUAUGUAAAAUCAGCGGAAGAAUGAAAGUCAGUUGCACAAAAAGAAAAAUUGCUUAGAAGACAGCGA
rnacentral:lncRNA from 1 species